AUUUGAUUGUUGUAGACAGCAUGAGGCCAGAAAAUACAAUUGAAUAGCACGUAAAGACUCAAAGGCUUGCAAGAAGAAGAAGGAGAAGGAGGAGGAGGAGGAGGAGGAGAAAAAAAUAGGCCUUUAAAAAAUCCAAGUAGCUGUAAGGGUACAACAGAAAACCGGUGUGUGUGAGGAUACAUUUUUGGUAAGGAAAGAUUUUGUAUGGUAAAAUAAUUCUUUGUCCUAGAGUAAAAUGAUUAGUUGGCUCCAAAAAGGACAAGGAAAGAUAAGGGCAAAAUCAGAAGGUUACAUUAAGUCACACAAAAUUUGUAGAGAAUGAAACAUAGGAGAAACAUUUUUAUGUGUGAUUAAGUUGGUUAUAAUUAUAGUAUGAGAGUUUUCUAAAAUCGAAUUUUGAUGUGCUGAUAUGAUACUAGAGUCUAAUCCUCUAUGUUUAACAUUUAUCUCCUUGUACAAAAUUAAGAAGAGCUGCCCUAGGAAACAAACUUUUGUGAUUUUUUUUUUCAGGAUAAUUUUUCAUGUUUUCUGCUGUUGCUAGUUUUUAAUUACAUGGGGGAAAAUCUGCCAUUUGAACAAUUUGGCCACCUACAACCUGAUCUGUGCCUUUUUGAUAUAAGUAAGUUCAUUAAGUAAUAACUCUGUAGUCAUUAACAUGGUUUCCUAAACUUGUGAGAAGUCUAAAAUUAUCUUUUAAUUUUUUUUGUUGAUGUUAGCCUGCAUAGAAUUGUUGCAGUGCCACAUUGAUAAUCAAAAAGAUUGGAUAUUAAUCAUCUGAGGAAUAUAUCUGUAAACCAAAAAAUCCCAUUGGUCCUGAUGUAAUGUUGUCAGUCGUGAUUGUUAUCUUAAAAUAUUGUAUAAAAUAGAGAUGUUUCCCAUUUAAUGACCUACCGGUUUAACGACUCUUUGGACUUACGAUCCACUGCUCGGACUUAGGACUUGUCUUUUUUUUGUACAGCUCUGUAUAUCUUGUUUAUAGAGCCUCAGUGUCUUUUUGUAUACAUCUUGUUUAUAUAGUAUAGUACUGUAAGUUUUUCUGAUUGUACUAUCCAGUACUGUACUUUUAUGUUCUGUGUAGAUUACAGUAGUGUAUGCAAGAGUUAUGUAAAUAAAAGCAGUCAUUAACUUGGAGUUUACCAUUUCUUCAUUCUGAAUAUUGUAAUGCAUAUGUUUUAUACAGUUCCUCAUUUAGCAACAGAUUCAUU
rnacentral:lncRNA from 1 species